CCGGCACUCAUUCAUCCACACUGCAGCGCGGAAAGGGCACGGGGUGGCAAAUCCGUGAAGCCAGCAGCACGACUGGCAAAACUUUCCACUCCUUCCACCUUUUAGCAAACGAAAGUGCAUUAAUGUGCACUGGUUACAAGCUGGACAUCCCUUAGAGCUUGUUGGCCGCUCUAUUUCACGGAUUAAAUCUCCCUCCUUGUUGAUUAGGCUUGAAAGUUGCAAAGACCAAACAGCAAAGAAAUAUGUCCUUUUAAUGAAAAGGACAUAUUUCACACUUAGCAACAAGAUGACCUGAGAAGCAGGACUGGCACAGAAUGAACAUACUUGGUGACCACCUUGGAAAGACAAUUAUGGAGUUAUACCUAUGGCUUUGCAUUCCCAAACACACAGGAUUUCUUCUGUCUUGUUAAGAUAAUGAUUUUUGUGAAUGUACAAGGACAUUGAUGCAACAAACACAGCAAUAAUGGACCUAAAGGCUGUGUCAGACUAAAGCAGGGGAAGGGUACUUUGGUACACUUCAUAUGAUUGGUCCUUGGAGCUUACACUCGUUUAUAAACACUUUUUGCCAGUAAACAUGUUGGAAAAACUCUACUUGCUGAUGGUUUUCCAAGGAUUCCAAUCCAAUUCCCAAGGUUCAUUUGAAAGACCAUUGAGUAGAGAAAUUGCUUCAAUAUUUAUCUUAAAUUCUGCCAAAUUUCUAGGAACCACCAUAUAAGUACUGUUUCAGGCAGCAUCUCCUGCAAAGGGAGAGAUGAAACUGCCACAUUAGAAAGUAAAUACUUACUAUCAGCUCUAUCAACAGCAACAUUUCCACUUCUGCCCUGAGCUGUUGGAGGUUUUCCUAGGAGAGAACUGCAGAUGAACGAUGUAAUGAGAAGUAUCAGCUACUGAAGACAGAAAAUGUUUAUGCUCAUAAUAAUGCCUACAAUAUAUAAAUUGUGCUUAUAAUAUUUCUGUAGCUUCUAAUGCUUAUAAGAGAGAAAUUCUAUUCUAAAGACCUGAAGUAAUUAAAAUGAGUAAUAAUGAGGUUCUAAAAGGAAUAUGGAGUAAGCUUGGGUA